UACGUAAGUGGCGAGCGUUAUCCGGAAUCACUGGGCGUAAAGCGCGCGUAGGCGGACCUGCAAGUCGGGGGUGAAAGCCCGAGGCUCAACCUCGGAACUGCCUUCGAUACUGCGGGUCUCGAGUCCGGGAGAGGUGAGUGGAAUUCCUAGUGUAGAGGUGAAAUUCGUAGAUAUUAGGAAGAACACCAGUGGCGAAGGCGGCUCACUGGCCCGGUACUGACGCUGAGGCGCGAAAGCGUGGGGAGCAAACAGG
rnacentral:rRNA from 1 species